AGCCCCGUUUCAGUUGGUUAUCUUUGUAACUGUAAAAUCGAUGCAGCAGCCCCCCUGAAUAACUCGCUUUUAGAAAUAAGAAGAAAUAGCCUACUGCUCGCUAUCACUGCGACAGGUUUCUGCACUUUGAUAGUUGGUGGUGUAACUCACUAUCCGAAGAUCCUGCGCGUGGCAAAGAUAACCUCCCUCAAGACAGUGCCUUUACACUUUGAGCCCCAUUCACACCUGCGAAAGCUAAGUAUGUUAAGGCUAAUUAAUACACCCAAGUCAUAGGCUAAAAAGUAGAACCACUGAAAUAUAAUAACAACGAGUGGGACACACAAGCGUCGAAAAAAAUAUUGUCUAUGUUGUGAAAGAACAAGUGCAAGCGAAAGUACUGGUGGGACUUGAACUUGCACGACGUUUCGUCAACGGGGUCUGACACAGUGAUUAAGACUGGGGAGAGGUCGAGAGGCAGAGUCACAUUGUUGGUGUUACACCAAUCAGAGGCAAGGCAGAGGUCAUGGGCAUGUCUGGAGGCAGGACACGCCCUAUAAGUGGCAGAGAUGAUGGUCUCUACCUGCUGCACCACCUGGGCCAAAAUCUCUCUGGUCAGAUUACCAACUCACAUCUUAUGAUGAUCCCAUUGUCUCAUUUUCUCUCAUCUCCUUCCAUUCUCAUCUUCUCCAGCUUUCAUCUUCUCCAAAUCUCAUUUUCCUCGUCCUUGGCCAAAACAACCCAUAGCCCCUUCCCAGCAUGGUGGCUGGUGGCACUUUAAAUCGGAGGACAGGCUCAUAAUAAUGUCUGGAACAGAAUCAAUUGAAUGGUAUUAUCAAACACAUGGUUCUCCAAUGAAAUUAUAAUGCUCAUUUACAGUAGCUGUGCCUCACAAGUAAUACAACAAAUGAUCUAUUACCAGUACGAUCGUAUAAUUUAAAUGGUAUAUCAUUUCUAAAUGGUCUGAGAAGAACAAUAUUGCCAGGGAAGUUCAAGCAUAGACAAUAUGCCAUUUUAAUUGGUUAAUGUUGCAUAGGCUUACGAUUUUUAAGUAACGUUUAGAAAAAUCUGAGCAGUAGAUCUCGGCAUGCGUUUUGACUCAGAAAGUAAUCUUGACCCAGAAAAGGUUGGUGACCACUGUUCUAUAGCAUAGACCCUAGGGCAGUGGUCACCAACCGGUCUAUCGUGAUUGACUGGUUGAUCUCCAAGCCAUUCCUAGUUAAUCACCAAAUAUUAGUUAGAGUUAAUCACUAGACAUGUACAAACAGAACUUAAGCAGAAAUGUGUACCUUAGUUAAGUAAUACAGGCACCACAAGCCAUGUAUCUGUAAUAAGUACUAAUUUGUACUAAUCAAAUAAUAUUAGACAAUAUUAGACAAACACGUAUGUUGGGAACAUAUAUAUGUAAUACAUGUAUUAUAUUUUGUAUUAGCACUAUGGUGACACCACCAAUAUAAUCUAAAACGAGCAUGAAUAAGUCAGAAGUGGGUGUGGACAAGCCAGAUGCGAGACAGGAAGAUAAUAGUGGCGAAAAGCCAAGGGGUGUUAAUAAUUUACAAAAAGAGGAGUGACCAUGUGUGUUAUGUAAGGGUACAACUGUAUAAAAGCAGAGUGCUGAGACUAGAGAGGUCAGUUGUUCCAUGGAAUUGCUCGGCUCCUGUUACUUUUGUAAUAAAGUCUAUUUGAAAUCACGA